UCUAUUCUGUGCAUUCACUCUAGUCACUGUGGCAUGCUAAAGAGUUAAUGCACUCUGAGUGUGUGCUCCUUUCAGAGUGUGCUCCCAAGACUGUUGCAGCGGCAACAGCCCCACUAAAGUAAGAGAUAAGGUUAAUAAUUCAACCAGCUUUCAAAAGUGUUGCAUAUUUCAAGGAUCCUUCAGCAGGGCAAUCCAUUCUGAGUGACUGCGUGUUCUCUUUUUCCUCGCUUUUCUUUUCACUAGUUGAUAUAGGCCUAGUAGCUGAGGUGCUGUAUAGUGUAUCCCAGUAUGGCGUGUAAGUGUGUGGACUGCGUCUGCGCACUACUGGAGUGGAUUUCUGUGUCAUUCUUCCUCCUCCACCCCUCCCACAUUUAGGGCUUUCCACCCUCCCACUAUCCCUCUCUCUCUUUCCUUCUGUGUCUCCGUCUCCCACCCAUCUUAUGCUCCCUCCCUUCCUCCCUCCUCCUCCCCCGUCUCCAGUGCAAAUACAGUUCCUUGCCGUGUUGGACAUGUGAUGAAAAAGUGACUGGUUCGCGCGCUCCGUCGCACCUCCUAUUUCAUCAUCAGCGGAGCAUUUCUCCCCUUCACUGUUCGCUCGCUGUCUCCUCCUCUCUUCCUCUCUCUCUCUCUCUCUCUCUCUCUCUCUCUCUCUUCUUUUUCUCUCUCUGUUUCGCUUGCUCCCCUCUUUCUGCUUCAGCCACACGCAAGGGGGAGACUUAAGCUCUGCAAGGGGAAAAAAAGAAAAAAGUCUGCUGCUAUUUCUACAGUCAGGGCCUCCCCACAGCCCGCCCUUCAAUAGACGGAGCUUUUUUUUCACUCACUACUAGGUGGAUUUUAACCCUCUGCCUCCAACUAGCUGCACAGCAGCUCUGCAAAACCUGGCAACAAGUUGCUUUUAGGGGCCUUUUCACACUUUUGGCGCAUUGAUUUUUGCAUCACUUUGGAUUUUGGUGCUGUUUCUUCCGUUCUUCUGUAUUUUGUUUUCUAAAAAUAUACUGGGUCUUCCUAUUUUUUCUCUGCUGAUGGGUUUCCAAUAGUAUUUAUUUAGUUUCUCUCUUUCUGGAUGGAAAUUUGUCAAGGUGGGGAUCGCCAUGUGAUGGGCCUUGUUCCACCUGGAGUGCCGAGGCGCCAUUUGUGACGGGUAACCUGCUUGUGGUGGACUCGUGGUUUGGAUGACCACUACGGAUGACAAGCAGACCAGUAUCUGAGCGUGGUACACAUCUGUGUUUUUAAAGACAUGUCCUUCAUCAGCGCCAGCGACUGGCGUGAAGCACUGCACCUCCUUCGUCUCUACUCUCUGUCUCCCCUUCUAUUUCCUUCCCAUGUCCUCUCUCUCUCUCUGUCUCUGUGUCUCGCUCUCCCUUGUUCUCUCUCUUUCACACCGACUCGCUCUCCUAACAGGAGAAUGAGUGGUGUGCUGAGCCGGAGCCCUUUCUGGGACAGGUGCCAACUGCAAACAAAAGACAUUAAAAGGCAAUAAGAGAAAAAAAUUUAGUAAUUGCGAAAUUUCAAAUUGUUGUGGCAGAAUGUCAGAAGUAGCCCUGCAUGUUGUGUCUCUACAUGGCCACUUUGUGCUAUUAUUGCAUGUUUAUAUGAAGUAUUAAAACUGAUUUUUGCGACUAAGGCCGUUGGUAAAGCAGAGGUUUGAAUACUUUGCACACUUAUUCUAGUGAAGGCAUUUCAUUCGGGAAGCGGGAGGGAGUAAUGUGGGAGAGCAGCAUAUAGACUGCUGAAUUAUUCAUGUGCCCAGCCAAGGCUGUGACUGGACUGGUUGUGCUAUUUGCAUGCAUCAGACAUGGUGUUUGUCUGUUUGCUAACAUUCAAAGACUUGUUAACUAGCAGAGGGGCUUAGCUGGAGCCUUGCAGACAGUCUCAUGGCCUCCUAUUGUUUCAGGCCUCACCAGACCUGGACCCAGCCAGUGGCAAGCGAGCCGUGCAGCCCUGAGCUUGGGGCUCAGACUGUAGCUGGAAGAGGGAGUGAGCCUGGAGCUGAGACUGAGGCUGGGGCUCAGGCUGGAGCUGGGGUUGAGGAAUGGCUGUGAAGGGGAUAGUCUGAGGGAAAUCACUGGGUCUUGCAAGAACCACCAAACGGGAGCUCAUGGCUGUCUCCUCUUCUUGACAGAGAUGCAGGAAGAGCUGCCGAAUUCCGCAUCCUGACCAGACAUUCACCAUCUUUGCUUUGAAAAAUCGGCAGUAAGAUGGGUUUUGACUUGAGCCACAGGCACAAACAAUUUGGCCAACAAGUGAAAUCACGGACAGACAGACUGGCGAUCGCAGCAGCAUUAACUAACAGAUUUUCCCUCUCGGGGAUUUUCAGACGAAGGCUACCUGACAUGCUGCUGAAACUGUGAUGGAAGGAGGAGGCGAUAGGCCAGUGCCCCCCCCUCCUGACCCCCCCUUCGCUGCGUGUUACCGAGCAGGUGAGAAACAUUAACAUCGGCAGCAGCUGCAGCUCUCUGCUACUCACAUGUGGGCCAGGAUAUGAGCUAGCUUGAGCUCACCCACUGUCAACACUGGUCACUAAUGUUAACACUCUCCUCUCUGAAGCACAAAAAUAGUACUGAGAAAAAGGGGUAAACAAAGUGGAAACAGCAUAUUUUGUUAUACAAUGUUUCUUUUUUUACAAAUUAUUGUAUGUUGUGAACAGUAAUGCUCAGCUUUAGAGUAGUGGUUCCCACUCUUUUUGGCUUGGGUACCCUUUAAAGUUAGGGUAGGUCAUGUAUUUUAGAAGCAUUUUUUGUUCAAUUUCUCUUUACUUCGCGACAGCAAUCAAUAAAUCAUAUGCUCCAGGGGAGGGGAAGAAAAACAAUCUGGUAUCUGUGGCCGUCGUAGGCCUGUAAUAAGCCAAUCAGACAGGGGUGGGAUUUGUUCAGUUGGAUACGAUCAAAAUCUAUUUGUCUCUUGCUAGUUUCUACGUCACCUACCCCAGCUUUAAAGCAAAGCAAUUUCUACUCCCAACCCCAUGUCACAGGCUGCAUGUGAGUUGCAAGCAGUUCAACCAAAGAGGGAUUUUUUCGUUCACAUAAUUGUUUAAUUGGAAUACAUUUUAGAGGUCUGAAGAUGUAAAACAUUCAAGGAUUUCACAAUAAAAAAAACAAAGAUUAGAGAUAAUGGGGGAAAAUGGAAUGGAAUGGAAAUAUGUUUUUAUUUAAAUAUAUUUUCUAUCGUUCCAAUUAUUACUUGACCUCUUUUGACAACCAAUGCUGUAGAAUGAAAACAGCCUCAUUUGCCACCAUCUUUCAGCAUUGAUCAUAAGCCUAUUCAAAGCAGACCAAAAUAUGGUCUGGGUAUUUUGAAAUGGACAAUAUUUAAUCAACGGAACAUUGCACUUUAAAUGUUUGGGGUUUAAACUGCUUUCCGUAAAAUCCUUUUAAUGGAUGUCACAGUACCCUUUAAGUACUGUCUGGACUGGACUGAUCACAUUUGAAUAUGGAAAUAUCUUGGCUUUGCGAUUUGUUUGGGAUAUAUGCACUUUGUUGGAUCAUUUGAAUUCCCCCUCAGCUCGAGCCAUGAACCAGAUGACCCAGUCGUCACAUUGUGUUCUGAACACAUAGACUCCGGACACACCGGUGAGGUGUCCCAGAGGAGAGUGGCAUGUGUAUUUGUGUUUCUGUGAGUCAUAACAGCUGUUUUGCAUUCAUUGAGGUGUGUCAAAGCGGAUUACCUGCAUGAAUGGUGACCUGAAACGACUUUGUUUUAAAGACUGUCCUUUGGGGUGAGGUAGUAGGUUGUAUAGUUUUAGGGUCAUACCCUUCCUGUCAGAUAACUAUACAACUUACUGUCUUUCCUGAAGUGGCUGUAAUGUCAUCAGAUGCCAUUGUUGGAACUUUUGGAUCUGGAUCAACACUGGAAUGUGCAUGUUUACUCACAGACUGCUAAGAACAUAACUCAUUUGCAAUAUUUGUUAGAGGUAGGUCAUUUAGGAUUGAAGUUGCUUUAGGUAGUUUUCCAUCUCAUGAUUUUCAUGGUUGCACUUUAAGACUUUGUGGUUAAUAAAAAUGUUUUUAAUCAUAAGUGUUGUUAUGUUUUGCUGGUUCUCUUUGUACCAAACAAACAACAACAAAAAUAUUUUCUUCAUAUCUCAUCAGACAAUGUAUAGUGUGUAAACCUUUACACAAACCGCGCUCUCAUCUAAUUGUCAUCCUCUAUCCUUAGCUCUUUUUUAUGUAUUUUAAACAGUUUUGUCUCUUAUGUGACCAUCACAGGACUCCGUGUCUCUUAUCCUCAAACUGCUUAGUUCUGACUGCUUGUACUGUUAGUGUUUUAGAAAUUAAAACUCGAUGCCUGUCUUUGUCUAUCAUUAUUGUAAGUUGAUUUAUAUAUGAAGUGGGUUAGUGUUCAAAAUGUGGAAAUGUAUAGGAAUGUAUUUAUUUACUAUUAGAAAAUGUAUAGUGUUUAUAUGUCACUCAACCAAAAUGUUCUUUAGUACAAGUUGCAUCAAAGCUUGCCAACCUGUAGGACCUUUCUGAUGUUCGAACGGGGUGAGGUAGUAGGUUGUGUGGUUUCAGGGUAGUGAUUUUGCCCAAUCAGGAGAUAACUAUACAACCUACUGCCUUCCCUGAAGGGCAGCAAUACUUCACGAUGCAGACAACGGGAGCAUAAGCUGUGACAGCCCAUCAUAGAAGCAGAGCGAACCAGCAGGUAAAGUCUGUUCACUAUAGGAUGUGUCUUGUUUUUUCUGCUUCAAACAUUAAUAAAAAAUAAAAUGAUGAAACAGUU